GAAGAACGCGGGCGGCGGGCCGAAGACAGGCAAGGAGAACGCGGAAGGAGGAGCUUGCGGCGCGGGAGGAGUUGCGAACGGGUGAGUAACGCGUAGGUAACCGGCCUGGUAGCGGGGGAUAACUAUUGGAAACGAUAGCUAAGACAGCAUAAUAGUAGAUGUUGUAUGACAUUUGUUUAAAAGGUGCAAUUGCAUCACUACCAGAUGGACCUGCGUUGUAUUAGUUAGUUGGUGAGGUAACGGCUCACCAAGGCAACGAUACAUAGCCGACCUGAGAGGGUCCUCGGCCACAGUGGGACUGGAACACGGCCCAGACUCCUACGGGAGGCAGCAGUAGGGAAUCGUCGGCAAUGGACGGAAGUCUGACCGAGCAACGCCGCGUGAGUGAAGAAGGUUUUCGUAUCAUCCCUCUCUUUUAUCAUAGAAGAACGAGUGUGAGAUUAGAAAGUUCACACUGUAACGGUAUCUUACCAGAAACUAACUCCUAACUCC
rnacentral:rRNA from 1 species